GUUGCUGCUGCUGCUGGUGUGAUUUACUGUCGCCGCACGAGCCAUACAGCUGUACCACAGAAUGACGUAGAUGCUAAUAACUCGCAGCUCGAAGAAGCCAAAAGAUUGAGUGGCACUUGAACAUCAAUGAAUCAGACUCAGGCCGAGGCUGCCAAUAAAACAAAGUAACAUAAUUUAUCAUUUUGAUACUUUCAAUUGAAAAGGACAUUAAAGAGAAUUAAGAAAUUAUUUAAACAUAGCAACAUGUUAUGGAUCAGCAAGGACUAUUUAUUAGAGGUGUAUUAAAGCUGCAAAAGUCAUCAAGACAGGAACAGAGAGACAUCUAUUUCUUGUCUUUGCACUGUAACUGUCACCUGGUUUGACAUUUCAAUUAUUUGGACUUGCCUUGCAUUCACUAGUUACUGACAGAACGGGCUGUGUUUUCACACCGUCUCAUUCUGGAGCACAGUCUGCUCUAUUGUUACUGUCAAUGGUUUAACUGGUAUUGUUGCUGUUUCUGGGAAAGAUUGUUACAUUGGUAAUGUUUAUGAUUUAAACAGCACUGUGCUUUAGUCAUCAACUCUUUCCACCAACCACAUUAGAACCAAAACCAGGCUUAAUAAGCUUGGAAAUCCGUUGAUUUGUUUGGUGAAAAACUUUGAUGAGAGUAUUUAUGAUGUGCAGUGCCUGUAACUGGAACCAUACAUGACACAGACUCUGGUAAAUGCUGUUACUUACACUUAGAAAAUGUUUAAUGUGAUGUUUGUCAGGAGGAAUUUUACAGAAUAACUAACACAGUGAUUUUACCAAGUACAACAUGUUCCUGGAUCAACAUCCUUGUUGAUCCUGGAA